GCAGACAUGAGGGAAAACAGAGUCACACUGUCAUCUAGUGGACGCUGGACACCAUCAUCAGGACGAUAAUGUUUCAAAAAAUAUAGAAAAAGCAGCACCUUUUUAACCGAUACUUUUUCAAAUAUUUAAUGAGAUUUUAAAGCAAAUUCCGCCAAAAUCGUAGUUAAAAGGUUGAAACCAGUGCAGCGAUUGGAUCACCUUUAAUAUAGUGAGCAUGUAAAGACCGACUCAAACACAAAAUAAUAAAAGCAAAUAAAUCCACAACAUUUAAUAAGAUGCAAAGUUACACAAAAAAAACAAAGCAGGAGGUUACGUAUGUUUAUGCUGUGCAGAAAAUGUACAAAAAAUGGUGAGUCAGGUUAAGGCAAUACGAUAUUAAAAUACACAAUAUAUGAAAAAAAGACAAAUAUAUAUAUUUAUAUACAGUUACACAAAGAUACUGCAUUCUGGAGUCGAAUCAAAAAGUAUAAUGUUUUCAAAAUGUGGAAGCAAGCAACAAAAAAAAAGAUAUUUAUAUUCCUAUAUGGAGAAUACUUAGUGAAGAAAAGGUUUAGAAGAGGAGAAGAUGCUGCUGCAACGCUUUGGUUUGUACUGAGGGACGAUUCCUGCUGAGUUCAGGGAACUGUGAGCACAUUUUUACAUUAUUUUACAGCUGCUUCGGCUCAGUUUUCAGGAUGUAGAUCUGCUCAAAUCUAACCUCUCACUGUCACACUCCAUUUCUCAGCUGUAAAAAUGUGAAUUACAGGCUUCCAGCACAGUAGUAUUUACAUAUUUUACCGUGUUUCUUGAAUAAAAAUAUGAUCUCUGUGGUCAACACAUACAAAAUCAAGUCUCACCGCCAUCGUUUCGUCCUGUAAAUGUAGAACAAACUAUAUUUACAGUAACACAGAACACUUUCUGAAGGAAUUCUCAGUCUUUUUCAUUAAAAUAUUUAUGAAUUCCUGCUGCAGACGAGGUUUAAUGAAGCGAUGUUUGACUGUGUUGCUGUAAAAACUGAGCCAAAGCUUUUGUAAAACACUGUUAGUGGUUUUACCACGUUUCCCAGAAUGCCUCAGUCAGAUUCCAACUUAUGCACAUAUCGUUCUCAUCAACAUCCAAGCUGCAAAUGAAGCUGAUUUUUGGGAACUUUCUAACACAUCUGGGUCUAUUUCUUUACAAUUUGAGUCCAAAUAAGCCAGAAAAAAAAAAAAAUGGAGAAACGCCACGAAAUUCACAUAAAAGCAGAGUUCAUGAUGUCACGUUUACGUCAUAUGAGACAUUUUUUGUUGCAAAUUUUAAUGUGAGACCCUAAAAUAUUCACUUGAACAGCAAAUCCAUUCAUUUGAGAGCCUGUGAGUGGAGAAUAUUUGGCAUUUUCUCUAUUUUUUGGUGAUUUCAGCCACUUUGGAUGUUGACGUAAACAAUAUCUGCCAGCCAGAGUUUAUUUCUGUCUGUUAGUGAAAGUUUAAGAGGCGACUACAAUCAUUCUGUUCUGUUUCUGGCUUUUUUUAUUUGCAGAAAUUUGGUUCGGUUUUCGUAAAAAAAUCCUGAAAAUGAACAGCAGGUUCUGUGUCGUCCCUUUGGUAUCCUGGAGAAUGUAACACCCCAGACUAGUUUUUUGGUUUUUAAAUCAAGUAUUCGAGCUGCUUGUUUAGAAAAAAGUCCAAACGUCAGAUUUCACGGCUCAGUACGGGUCGAGGCUUCUCUCGCAGCGUUUCUUUUCCACCGAUCCUGUUGUUUUAUUUAAACAAAAAGAGGUCAAUUUAAAGGCACUUGAAGUUUUCCAUUUUUUUCCUCAUUUAAAAUGUACAAUAGCUGCCUUUGACUGUUUUACUUCUGCUGCCGGACGGCUGGAUGAUGCUCUGAGCGAGAAUAAAGGAGAAACAGGAGAGAGGAGAGGACGGAAGGCUGCUGUGGAAAACGUGGAAUCUCAUCGGUUUUCAUUUUUAGCUUCUUCACACAAAAAACAGGAAAUCUGAGGCAGUGCUCAACUAUUUUAUGUCAUUUAUCUGUAAAAAAUGAGUUGAUUUAACCCAGGGGUGUCAAACAUGCGGCCUGUGGGCCAAAACCGGCCCUCCAGAGGGUCCAUUCCGGACCCUUGUUUCUUUUUGUCUCAUUUGUGUAAUUUUUCUGUCUUGUUUUUGACCAUUUUUUGUCACUUUGUGACUGUUUUUAUCAAAUUUUUGUGUCUUUUUUUUGUAAUGUUUCGUGUCAUUUGUCUAAUAUUUGUAAUUUUGUGUCUCAUUUUUGUAAUAUUUUGUCUUGUUUUUGUUGUUUUUCUGCCUUUUUUGUCUGACUUUGUCUCGUUUUGAUCAUAAAGUAAAAUACUACAUCGUUCAGUUCCAGAUGACUAAAUGUUGUGUUCCUUUGUUGACACUGCGAUCUGGAAGUUGUAAUGUGUAAAUGAUAAACUGAGGCGUAAUGUUGUUUAAAUAGCAUUUAUUAUUCUUAAGAAAUUUCAUGUUGUUUAUGUUUUGUAAAAAGAUACUUAAUUAAAUGUGAACAUUUUCAGAAUGGACUUUUUUGCACUAAAACAAAGGACAUAUUUGGAUUAUUUCUAGGUUAUCAUGCUGUGAUUUUACUGGUCACUGGAGAUCAAAUUGGGCUGAAUGUGGAACUAACCUGAACUAAAAUGAGUUUGACACUCCUGAUUUAAACUCUCUAAGUCUGAAUUUGUGCUAAUUUGGAGUUAAAGGAAUCACAUUCUGCUUUGGCAAGACAAACAUUUUAAAGGACUAGUGCAAAAAAAAAAAAAAAAAAACGCUCAAAAACUGUCUUUGGUUUCUAUCAAAUAUCGAAUGUUGUACAAUCAGUUUUAGUUUAAGGCACCAUCUGAAUUUUGUCGCCCAACAACAAAAAAAAGCAACAAGACAGAAGAAGUAUGAAAGAAAAGAAAUAUAGAGGAGAAAGGAAGCUGGCUCAGUGACAAAGCUUUUAAAAUAUAUAAACAAGCAGCUGUUUUCACUGAAUCACUCUUAGUAGGAAGUCAUUUUGUUGUGCGCUUCUGAUCUGUUUUUCUUUAAAAUCAUCUUUAUACCCUGUCUGCAAAGCAAGUCUCCCUCACUGGGAGAAACAGCAAAGAGUUGAAAUGAACCGAGUCCAGACGCAUUCUCAAAAGGACAAAAAAACAGCGAUGAUAAUAAUAAGAAUAAAAAAAAAAAGAAACUAUAUAUUUUAUCCUUCUGAGCGUUUGUAGCAGAAAUCAGGUGUUUGAGUCGCUGGAUCUUUAACUUCUGCAUCGAUCAGUCCAGUAAUCCCAGUUUGGAAAUGUCUCAAAACCAGCCCGAACCGAUGCGUUUUCCUGGAAACGUCUCGUUUUGUGGCUCCGACUGGUUUGUUCUGAAGCGUAGAAGAGGCUCGUUGCUGCCCCCUGGUGGCCGACAUGGACUGAACAUCCUUAACCCUCAUGUCGUCCUGCGGGUCAAAUUGACCCGUUUAAAGUUUGAAAAUGUGGAAAAAAAAUCAUAUUUUCACAGUGAAACUUCUGAUGUCCACAUGUUCAACAUUUUGGGGAAAUGUUUGAACAUUUUUUUGUGGAAAAAAGUAAUGUUUCUUAAGAAAACUGGCAAAAAAAUCUGCCAAAAUUCAGCGAAUUUCGCUGGAUUUUGGUAGAUUUUUUUUUGGUGAAUGUACUUAAGAAAAUAUUGCAAGUUUUACUGAUAUACACACAUAGACAAAAUUGUUGGUACCCCUCGGUUAAUGAAAGAAAAACCCACAAUGGUCACAGAAAUCAUUUCAAUCUGACAAAAGUAAUAAUAAAUUACAAUUCUAUGAAAAUUAACCAAUGAAAAUCAGACAUUGCUUUUGAACAGCAGAAUAAUUUAAAAAAAUAAACUCAUGAAACAGGCCUGGACAAAAAUGAUGGUACCCUAGAAAAGACUGAAAAUAAUGUGACCAUAGGGACAUGUUCAAUCAAGGUGUGUCCUCUAAUUAGCAUCACAGGUGUCUACAAACUUGUAAUCAGUCAGUCGGCCUAUUUAUAGGGUUACAGUAGUCACUGUGCUGUUUGGUGACAUGGUGUGUACCACACUAAACAUGGACCAGAGGAAGCCAAGGAGAGAGUUGUCUCAGGAGAUUAGAAAGAAAAUUAUAGACCAGCAUGUUAAAGGUAAAGGCUAUAAGACCAUCUCCAAGCAGCUUGAUGUUCCUGUGACUACAGUUGUACAUAUUAUUCAGAAAUUUAAGAUCCAUGGGACUGUAGCCAACCUCCC
ensembl:lncRNA